UUUGAUCAAGAAUAUUGCUCUAACUAAAGAUAACCUAGCGACAAAACAUUGGAAAGGGAGUUUAAAGCGUUUUGGAUGCAGUUUAAAUGAAUCCGUUCAACAUCUCUUCUUGGAUUGUUCUAAUGCUAGAUGCAUUUGGAGAGGGGUAGUCUUCAGAGGAACCCACUGGACAAGACAAUGGUCCGUGUUGCAAAAAGAGGAAAACAUGAUACAAAUCAAGUGGGGAUGUCGUGCGCUUGAGACUACAAUGAUGCAAAUUUUCUCAUACAACGGAUGAAGUUUUAGUAAUCGAAUUGGUUUUUAGAGAUUACGAAAUAUGGUUGUUCUUAAGAUAUUAAACAUCGUGUGUUUUGGUUUGAGAUGUAAUAAUUGAACAUCCACAUGCAUCUAUUGGUGCAGAAGC